AACAACAACAACAUGGGAGAUUCAGGGGCUCGUCAGCUAAGUGAGGGGCUCAGGAGUGACAACUGUAAAUUAGAGACUCUGGAGCUGUGGAGUAAUGGGAUCAGUAAGAGUGAGAAGAGGAACCUGUGGUCACUACAGGGAGAGCUGAGGAGGUCUGGACGUCAGCUGACUAUCUACACAUGAGAAGACCAGCAGUGGUGAUCAGACAGACCCCUGUCAGUGAUGAAGCCCCCCGUCCACUCACCCCUAAACUCUCCUCUUUCCUCUUUUUCUUCUCCUCUCAGCUCUGCUCCUCAUUUAAUAAACUCUCCGUGUCCCCUCA